AGCGGCACACAGGGCGCGCCGCGCUCGCUCGGCACGGGCAGCUCAGCCGGCCUCACGCCGCCGUCCGCAACAGCAGCCGCGGGCGGGGUGCAGCCACCUCCGUGAGCGCCGCAGCCCGCCCCGCUCGGGGCGGGGCCCGCGGGCACCGAAGAGCGGACGGCCGAGCACGAGGGGGCUGCGCGCAGCUCCGGGCAGGGACCCCGUCUGCACCGGGUGGCCUGCAAGAUUGCCGGGGUAGGCAGGGGGAGGAGAACGCUCACCCGUUCCGGUCUGGCGCUCCCUUCUCUCCACACCCACACGCCUCCCGCUCCACGCUGGCGGCGCAGCUGCUCCCGCUGCCACAGCCGCCACCGCCGCCGAAGCUCGCGCCGCCGCCGCCGCCUUGGCUGAGCGCGGUCACGUGACGCGAUCCGCGGGGAGCCUGGGGGCGGGCGAGUGCGCGCGCGCGCGCGCGGAGGAACCGCGGCUCGGACCGGGACUGGGAGCUGAGCGGCACUGGGAGGGCGUUUAAGGGGAGGACCCGGCGAGCGCGCCCUCGGCUGGCGAGCGCGCGCCUGGCGAUUAGAACUUGCCGCGCGGUCGGGAAAGGGUGGCCGGAGUGAGGGGCGGAGGUGGGGACUUGCGCCUCCGCACGCCCCUCCCUUUCUUCCUUCCCCUGAGCGCCUUGGCUUGCCGCUGCCCCCGCCCCCCCCAGCGCGCCCCUUCCCUCCUGCCGCAGCCUGCGAUUGGCUGAGAGACUCUGACGUCCGUGUUUCCAUGACGUGUUGGUGCAGGAGGGAGCGGCGGGGGAGGAGGGGGUGGCUCAGGCGCGCGGGGAGGUGACUCCGUCAGUCACAGCUGCUGUUUCGGCGCGGGGCCGGGCCGCUGCCGCGACGUGUGGAGGCAGGAGAGCGAUGAUUGCCGCAGGAGAAGUGCGGGCGCCCUUCACCUGGGGCCCCUCCCGAACCGCCCCCGGGCCCAUGCCCCUCCAGGGCCCAGGAGCGAGCCAGCGGGAGGGCGAGGGCGAGCGCUCCUGGCGAGGACAGAUUAAGGCGAACCCCCAGUCAGCGGACAUUUGAGCGGCUCCUCGCCGCGUCUCUGCCCCCACUCCAAACCGGACUCGACGCCUGUCCCGGGCCGUGACGCACGCACCGGAGGACAAAAGUGCUUCUCGGCUCGCUCCCUCUUUGGGGAAGAGAGCUCACUCCCCAUGCGGGCGCGGGACACCCCAUCUCUGUUCCUGCCGGUCGGGUCCGCAAACACCGGGGAUCCCAGCUGCGGCGCCCAAAGGGUUAACGCAGGCGUUCGGCCAGUGCAAACCGGCCUCGCAUGAUCCGCGCUUAAAAUCCGGGUGUUUUCAUUUUGGGUUUGUUUCUUCUACUAUGCCAAGCUGGUAGCUCUCUUUUAAUUCUCUUGUAACAUCUCAACCCUGCACCCAUCUUUCCUGAGGGGAAAAGGAAACGGGAUAACUUGCGGUAUUUCGAUGCUCAAAGGUAACCGGCGGCUCUGCUCCAACCUUCAAGAGAUUUUGCAAGUUGAAAAAAAAAAAACCAUCCUUCGUAACAUCUACUUAAAAAAAAAAAAGCAAGUUUUCCUUCUUGUACACGCAUAUACACAGUAAAGAUGUGUAUCUUACCUAAGAUACCGCGCUUCAUCUUCAUCUAAUCUUUAUUUGAACUCACCGUCGCCACUGGCCCAGAGACCUUGUCAGUGUUAUUUUCAGUAUCAGUUAAUCAGAACAAAAAGAUAAGUUCUGCAAUCUUCUUUCUCUUAAUUCCAGAACUGGAAAAUUAAUAUUUAUAUAGCCUCCUCAAAAGCAUACAGGCAAUAGGAAGUAUGGUAUUAUGUUCACGAUCUGAUGAUAGCAUUUGUUUUAAAAUAUUUUAAAAGAUUAGACACAGAAUGUGUAAAAGACGUUUAAAAGUGAAUAAAUAUAAAUCAAUGCUGUUGCAAAUAAUUUUUUUAUCAGUUUAUGUAUCUCACUAGGCUUGACGUUACCAGCCUUCUGAGCUGUGCCCUUGAUGUGUAAGAUAAACGAACAUUGAACAGAAUGAUAGCAUUUUUCCUCUCUUCAGUCACUGAUGGAGAAUUGGUUAAUGUGGUACAAUAAAUAGCCCUUCCAGACACUAUUUCAAAUCUUUUUAACAGAAGAAUAACCUAAAUUUCACCUAAUAAAUUUCAAUAUUAUUUCCCCCUAAAAUAUUUUUCAAAACGACUCAGAGACAUUUAAGAAUCACUGGCUGUUUUCCAACUUUUCCUCCAAGGAAGUUACAAUACAAUGUUGAAUUAUGUAUUCUACUUUAAUCAAGAAUUUGACAUUAAAGUAAUAUGUGAAUCAUUGCUAUAGUACACUAGCAAAAUGGGUAAUAGAUUAAACUAGAAUCUGUUCACUUUGUGGGUUUGUUCCAGUUCCAGAUUAUAAAAUGAAUGCUCUUAAAGUGUUGUGGUCAUGAAACAAUUAUUGAGCAUCUUUAUUUAAGAACACGAUUCAAUUAAAUUUUCAUUUAUAUCGAUAAAUCUAUAAGUGAAACAUAUGGAAUAUAUAUAUUCAUGUAUAUCCAUAAAUGAAAACGUGUGUGUGUGUGUAUCCCGGAACAUAUUUGUAUGCAUUUUAAUGAAAUGUGAGUCAUAUGCAAUGACAAACUUUUACUGUCAUAGUCAAGAAAAUUGUACUGUAGUUUGGUUAUUAUAUUUUUAUUCUUCAAAUAGGAAAUAAAGGGUGAAAGCAAUAUAGAAAUAACUGUUCACAUUACAUUAAGAAAUUCAAUUUUUUUCUCCCACAGGCUUAGUACUAAAGCAUCCCUCACACAUAUUUUUCAAUGUAAAAAUCAAGAAAAUAUUGCAUUGCUUACUGUUUCCUUGAAAAAAAAUUGAACUAUCUGAAAUCAAAGAUGCCACUGUAUGUAACAGUAUUCUCUUAAUCUUAGACCUAACUUAUCCCAUGUGUUUAACUGAUCUACAGAUGUAUCUUUGCAUAAGGAACAAUAUAAUAAUAUAAUUUACUGGGGAAAUAAUAUUUUAAAGUUCUUUUAAUAUGCAUUUUAGCUACAAUGCAAAACUUAUAAAAGUAUUUAAAUCCAGUCAGGUGCGGUGGCUCACGUCUGUAAUCCCAGCACUUCAGGAGACUGAGGCGGGCAGAUCACGAGGUCCGGAGAUUGAGACCAUCCUGGCCAACAUGGUGAAACCCCGUCUCUACUAAAAAUACAAAAAUUAGCUGGGCGUGGUGGCUCAUGCCUGUAAUCCCAGCUACUCAGGAGGCUGAGGCAGGAGAAUCGCUUGAACCAGGGAGUCCAAGGUUGCAGGGAGCCGAGAUCGCACCACUGCACUCCAGCCUGGCGACAGAGUGAGUCUCAGUCUCAAAAACAAAACGAAACAAAACAAAACAAAAAAGUAUUUAAACCCCAUGACAAGUUACUAUAUGAGAUGUUAACAUUGAAGAGUGGCUGCAGAUUCAAAAUAAUAUAUUUGGUAUUUUUAAGGUAUGCUCUUUUUCGUAGAGUAAAUCUAAACAACUGAGAUAUUUGCUGAAAAGUUGAUCGAUUCAAGAGAUAUAACACAUGAAGACAGUUUUCUAAAAUCCUCAAUGUAAUUAAGUGUAAAGAGAAACAAAGAACUUUAUUCUGUCACAUGCAUGUAGCAAUAGGACAAAAUAAA
rnacentral:lncRNA from 1 species